rnacentral:rRNA from 1 species
ACCAGACUCCUACGGGAGGCAGCAGUGGGGAAUAUUGCACAAUGGGGGAAACCCUGAUGCAGCGACGCCGCGUGAGUGAAGAAGUAUUUCGGUAUGUAAAGCUCUAUCAGCAGGAACGAGACAAGACGGUACCUGACUAAGAAGCCCCGGCUAACUACGUGCCAGCAGCCGCGGUAAUACGUAGGGGGCAAGCGUUAUCCGGAAUCACUGGGUGUAAAGGGAGCGUAGACGGCUGAGCAAGCCUGAAGUGAAAGGCGGGGGCCCAACCCCCGGACUGCUUUGGGAACUGUGCGGCUGGAGUGCAGGAGAGGUAAGUGGAAUUCCUAGUGUAGCGGUGAAAUGCGUAGAUAUUAGGAGGAACACCAGUGGCGAAGGCGGCUUACUGGACUGUAACUGACGUUGAGGCUCGAAAGCGUGGGGAGCAAACAGGAUUAGAUACCCUGGUA